GUGGCUUUUACAUCUCUUUUAAAGAAUCGUGCUUUGAAUUAUUUAUAUGUGAAGCAUUGUUGUGAUUGUAUUAGCCUACAUUGAAUCUAGUUUCCCUCGCUAUCCUGUUCGUCAAUUUCAAUGAUGUUACUUAGGACGUCGGGGAACAAUAUGU